rnacentral:lncRNA from 1 species
AGAGAGGAACUCUAAGACAUAGUGAGGUGUGGGAGAUUUGCCACCAGACCUAGGGGAAGUCAGUCGUAUGAAACUGAGGAGAGGUAGGCUCACUGGUGCACACCCCUACUUCCAGCCAUUCAGGAGGCUGAGGCUGAGGCUGAGGAAGUGCUUGGGUCCAGGAGGUCUGGACUAUAGGAUGCUAUGCUGUGAGACAUCUCAUCUUGCCUAGGGAAGGAGCAAACCAGCAGAGUUCAUUACAGCCACGUUUGUGGACUCUGCUCUCUCAUCUCUCCCUCCCAGUUUGGCUUCCUACCUCUGUCUUCGCGGCUUCCAGCUCUUUAGGAUGUGUGAAGACUCAGACACCAUCAGCACUGAAGUAGACAUCGGUAGAUCCCGUGAGUGGUUAACAUUUUCAACAUGUCUGUGAAAACCAACUGGAAAAAUGAGCACAAGAGGAGCAGACGGAAUUUUUACGUGGUGUCUUUGUCUCCUAGCGUGCCUAGCUCAGCUUCAGGACAAGGCGAGAGAUGCGAUGUUUCCCUUGCCAUUGGAAAAGACAAUUCCAAAUUAGUCUCCUUGUCAAGCCCUUUACUCACUGACCUCUCCUCACAACAACAACAACAACAACAACAAAGGCAUUCAAUCAGAGAGCUGGGCUUCCAACCAAGCCUGUGAAGAAUCUUCCCCUUGCUUCCCCCUUUGCGUCUCUCAGAAACCUUUGGGCCACCACAGGAAGGACAUAAAAUGACUUCAUCUCACCA